rnacentral:rRNA from 1 species
UGGGGAAUCCUGCACAAUGGAGGAAACUCUGAUGCAGCGACGCCGCGUGAGCGAAGAAGCCUUUCGGGGUGUAAAGCUCUUACGCCAGGGACGAUAAUGACGGUACCUGGAGAAGCAGCUGCGGCUAACUACGUGCCAGCAGCCGCGGUAAUACGUAGGCAGCAAGCGUUGUUCGGAAUUACUGGGCGUAAAGGGUGCGUAGGCGGCGCUCUAAGUUUGGUGUGAAAUCUCCCGGCUUAACUGGGAGGGUGCACUGAAAACUGGGGCGCUCGAGUAUGGGAGAGGAAAGCGGAAUUCCUGGUGUAGCGGUGAAAUGCGUAGAGAUCAGGAGGAACACCUGCGGUGCAGACGGCUUUCUGGACCAUCACUGACGCUGAGGCACGAAAGCGUGGGUAGCAAACA